GACUGGAGCAGAGUGAGAAGAGGCUAAGGCAGCAGCAGGCAGAGAAGGAUUCCCAGAUCAAGAGCAUCAUUGGCAGGGGUAAGGAUGCCUGAGGCUUUUC
rnacentral:sRNA from 1 species